ACGCUGGCGGCGUGCCUAAUACAUGCAAGUAGAACGCUGAAGAGAGGAGCUUGCUCUUCUUGGAUGAGUUGCGAACGGGUGAGUAACGCGUAGGUAACCUGCCUUGUAGCGGGGGAUAACUAUUGGAAACGAUAGCUAAUACCGCAUAACAAUGGGUGACUCAUGUCAUUUAUUUGAAAGGGGCAAAUGCUCCACUACAAGAUGGACCUGCGUUGUAUUAGCUAGUAGGUGAGGUAACGGCUCACCUAGGCGACGAUACAUAGCCGACCUGAGAGGGUGAUCGGCCACACUGGGACUGAGACACGGCCCAGACUCCUACGGGAGGCAGCAGUAGGGAAUCUUCGGCAAUGGGGGCAACCCUGACCGAGCAACGCCGCGUGAGUGAAGAAGGUUUUCGGAUCGUAAAGCUCUGUUGUAAGUCAAGAACGAGUGUGAGAGUGGAAAGUUCACACUGUGACGGUAGCUUACCAGAAAGGGACGGCUAACUACGUGCCAGCAGCCGCGGUAAUACGUAGGUCCCGAGCGUUGUCCGGAUUUAUUGGGCGUAAAGCGAGCGCAGGCGGUUUGAUAAGUCUGAAGUUAAAGGCUGUGGCUCAACCAUAGUUCGCUUUGGAAACUGUCAAACUUGAGUGCAGAAGGGGAGGGUGGAAUUCCAUGUGUAGCGGUGAAAUGCGUAGAUAUAUGGAGGAACACCGGUGGCGAAAGCGGCUCUCUGGUCUGUAACUGACGCUGAGGCUCGAAAGCGUGGGGAGCGGACAGGAUUAGAUACCCUGGUAGUCCACGCCGUAAACGAUGAGUGCUAGGUGUUGGAUCCUUUCCGGGAUUCAGUGCCGCAGCUAACGCAUUAAGCACUCCGCCUGGGGAGUACGACCGCAAGGUUGAAACUCAAAGGAAUUGACGGGGGCCCGCACAA
rnacentral:rRNA from 1 species